AUUGAACGCUGGCGGAAUGCUUUACACAUGCAAGUCGAACGAUGAACCUUAGCUUGCUAAGGGGAUUAGUGGCGAACGGGUGAGUAAUAUAUCGGAACGUGCCUUGUAAUGGGGGAUAACUAGUCGAAAGAUUAGCUAAUACCGCAUACGCCCUGAGGGGGAAAGUAGGGGAUCUUCGGACCUUACGUUAUAAGAGCGGCCGAUAUCUGAUUAGCUAGUUGGUGGGGUAAUGGCCUACCAAGGCGACGAUCAGUAGCUGGUCUGAGAGGACGACCAGCCACACUGGAACGGAGACACGGUCCAGACUCCUACGGGAGGCAGCAGUGGGGAAUUUUGGACAAUGGGCGCAAGCCUGAUCCAGCCAUUCCGCGUGAGUGAAGAAGGCCUUCGGGUUGUAAAGCUCUUUCGCAAGGGAAGAAAACUUACCAUCGGAUAAAUGGUGAGGCUGACGGUACCUUGAUAAGAAGCACCGGCUAACUACGUG
rnacentral:rRNA from 1 species